GUUUCGGACAUCCCUAGAAUGUUUUUUUAUGUCAUCAAUGAAGUAAAUAUUGCAUUUGCUAAAAAACACUCAGUCAAUAUUAUAAAAUGAAUGCAUUGUCAGUAUAAAACAUGUUCCCAUAAUGUAUAUAAAAUCUUUGCUAUAUACAGUCAAUACUGCAUAGGUGGUUUAAACAAGUUUGUCUAUGCCACAGUUAAGAGAAACAUAGAAUUUGAUUGGCUGAACACGUAUGUCUUCCUUGGACACAGUUCAAAAUCGGGAACCAUCAUAUUUUUCGUGUAGAUUUUCACAAAAUCAUGUUUUAGAGGGUUUUUCACGAUCACGAUCGUGCAAUCGUGACUAAGGGUCAAAAUCGUGUAAUACAGGCCUAAAUCGUGAAAGUUGGCAGGUAUGCAGUUUGGUCUCAUGGAGUUGUUUCAUUUCAGAAAACAAUCAUGUUAACAUUGCAUACAAAUUUAUGAUACAUUUAUAAAAAAAAUAUUUUACUUUAUAUCUUAUUUCAUGAACGUUUCAUCAUUGAAAACUGAACUGACCCCUUAGUUUUAUACACAAGUAUAAAAAGAUAUGGUAUGAUUGCCAAUGAGACAACUCUCCACAAGAGACCAAAUCAUGAAAUGACACAGAAAUUAACAAUUGUAUAUGCAAGUCAUAAAUUAAUCUUAUUUCCAACAGAUUUUUUAGUAAGUAGUGAACUUAAC
rnacentral:lncRNA from 1 species